rnacentral:piRNA from 1 species
UGUUAACCUACCUACCAUUGCGCUGUGUAA